CAGCAGAUCCCGCUGCGGAUUGAUACUUACCAUCUUUUUCCUUCGCUUUCGACCAUCUCGAGUUGGUGGACCUGGAAGAGAAAGAAAAAAAAAAAAAAAAAAAAAAGCUUAGCUUUUGUUACUCUGUGUGUACACUGGGAUUCUCGUCGAGUGAGGGUGGGAAAUCUUGUUCAUGUGUUUGUGCUCGUGAAUUUCCCUGCCUGGGAGAUCUUUGAGGAUUGCGGUGGGCGUGUGUCAGGAGUGAAGAACAGCCAUGAUGUGGGAACGUUCGUCGUGAUAUACCCCGCCAUCUGCCUAGAAGAGCCGAAGAAGGUGCUAUGGAUUACAUCCGGGAGUUCGACAUCCGGCUGGAGAAGGAAAUGUAUUACGCGGGAGAGACAUUGUCCGGCCAUGUUAUAUUGGACACAGUCGAAAACUUCAAGUUAAAAGAUUUAUGCUAACCACGCAGAGGUCAGAGUCUCAUACUUCGUAGUCAGGGGAAUAGCGUUUUCAUGAAUAUUACAAAAGAAUCUGGGAUCUGAGAGAAAGAAACAGGCGUGCUCUUUUCCCUCUCGUGCUGCAACGAAGAUGCCAAAUAUGUGCUUCUAUUUCUAAAAUGUUGCAAAUAUUUCUGUA